GAUGAACGCUAGCGGCAGGCUUAAUACAUGCAAGUCGAGGGACAGCACAGGUAGCAAUACUGGGUGGUAACCGGCAAACGGGUGCGGAACACGUACACAACCUUCCUUUAAGUGGGGGAUAGCCCAGAGAAAUUUGGAUUAAUACCCCGUAAUAUAGUUGAAUGGCAUCAUUUGAUUAUUAUAGCUACGGCGCUUAAUGAUGGGUGUGCGGCUGAUUAGAUAGUUGGCGGGGUAACGGCCCACCAAGUCUACGAUCAGUAGCUGAUGUGAGAGCAUGAUCAGCCACACGGGCACUGAGACACGGGCCCGACUCCUACGGGAGGCAGCAGUAAGGAAUAUUGGUCAAUGGACGCAAGUCUGAACCAGCCAUGCCGCGUGAAGGAUUAAGGUCCUCUGGAUUGUAAACUUCUUUUAUUUGGGACGAGGAAGGGCCUUUCUAGGUCAACUGACGGUACCAGAUGAAUAAGCACCGGCUAACUCCGUGCCAGCCGCCGCCGUAAGAC
rnacentral:rRNA from 1 species